rnacentral:rRNA from 1 species
CCUACGGGAGGCAGCAGUGGGGAAUAUUGCGCAAUGGGCGAAAGCCUGACGCAGCGACGCCGCGUGAGGGAUGAAGGUCUUCGGAUCGUACACCUCUGUCAGCAGGGAAGAACGGUCACUGUGCUAAUCAGCAGUGAAUUGACGGUAUCUGCAAAGGAAGCACCGGCUAAAUCCGUGCCAGCAGCCGCGGUAAUGCGGAGGGUGCGAGCGUUAAUCGGAAUUACUGGGCGUAAAGCGCUCGUAGGCGGUAUGUCAAGUCAAGGGUGAAAUCCCCGCGCUCAACGUGGGAACUGCCUUUGAAACUGGCAAACUGGAGUGUGUUAGAGGAUAGUGGAAGUCCAGGUGUAGGAGUGAAAUCCGUAGAUAUCUGGAGGAACAUCAGUGGCGAAGGCGACUAUCUGGCACAUAACUGACGCUGAGGAGCGAAAGCGUGGGUAGCAAACAGGAUUAGAUACCCUGGUAGUC